AUUGAACGCUGGCGGCAUGCCUUACACAUGCAAGUCGAACGGCAGCACGGGUGCUUGCACCUGGUGGCGAGUGGCGAACGGGUGAGUAAUACAUCGGAACGUACCUUAUCGUGGGGGAUAACGCAGCGAAAGCUGUGCUAAUACCGCAUACGACCUGAGGGUGAAAGCAGGGGAUCGCAAGACCUUGCGUUAUACGAGCGGCCGAUGUCAGAUUAGCUAGUUGGUAGGGUAAAGGCCUACCAAGGCGACGAUCUGUAGCGGGUCUGAGAGGAUGAUCCGCCACACUGGGACUGAGACACGGCCCAGACUCCUACGGGAGGCAGCAGUGGGGAAUUUUGGACAAUGGGGGAAACCCUGAUCCAGCCAUGCCGCGUGAGUGAAGAAGGCCUUCGGGUUGUAAAGCUCUUUCGGCCGGGAAGAAAUCGCACAGGCUAAUACUCUGUGUGGAUGACGGUACCGGCAUAAGAAGUACCGGCUAACUACGUGCCAGCCGCCGCCGUAA
rnacentral:rRNA from 1 species